rnacentral:sRNA from 1 species
AGAUAGACCUGUUCAGACCUCGCAACAUGUCCAUCUUGAGAUACACUCUGUCCCCAACCUCAAACUCAAGCUCUCCUCCUCUUGUCAGCAUAACUCCGUUGUCGAUCCUGAGCUUCCUUCAUGUUCAACUUAAGAACCCGGAUCCUUGAUAAUAGGAUUU